rnacentral:lncRNA from 1 species
CCCGUAUAUAAAAUAUCAAUAGAUUUUUCCAUAAAAAAACAAGGUCGUUGUUAGUGUCAUAACAAAGUCCCCUGACUUGACAUGAAUGAUUCAUUUUAAGCGCCUUAUCAUGAUCUCUCUAUAUUGGGAACUUUAUACAGAUCUUGUAAGUCACCAUAUCCUGAUUCAAAUACAUGUAUAGUGUUUCAUAAGUAAAGGGUAUAAGCUCGGUCGAGAAAUCAUCUGAAUGUAUUACUCUGAACCAUCUCCUUGCAUGACUAUAAAUCAAUCUACAAACAAAAUAAAUUA